rnacentral:rRNA from 1 species
GAUGAACGCUGGCGGCGUGCCUAAUACAUGCAAGUCGAGCGAACAGACGAGGAGCUUGCUCCUCUGACGUUAGCGGCGGACGGGUGAGUAACACGUGGAUAACCUACCUAUAAGACUGGGAUAACUUCGGGAAACCGGAGCUAAUACCGGAUAAUAUAUUGAACCGCAUGGUUCAAUAGUGAAAGACGGUUUUGCUGUCACUUAUCGAUGGAUCCGCGCCGCAUUAGCUAGUUGGUAAGGUAACGGCUUACCAAGGCAACGAUGCGUAGCCGACCUGAGAGGGUGAUCGGCCACACUGGAACUGAGACACGGUCCAGACUCCUACGGGAGGCAGCAGUAGGGAAUCUUCCGCAAUGGGCGAAAGCCUGACGGAGCGACGCCGAGUGAGUGAUGAAGGUCUUCGGAGCGUAAAACUCUGUUAUUAGGGAAGAACAAAUGUGUAAGUAGCUGUGCACGGAUUGACGGUACCUAAUCAGAAAGCCACGGCUAACUACGUG